GUGGAUUAGAUACCCUGGUAGUCCACGCAGUAAACGAUGAAUACUAACUGUAUGCGAUAUACUGUAUGCGGUACAGCGAAAGCGUUAAGUAUUCCACCUGGGGAGUACGUUCGCAAGAAUGAAACUCAAAGGAAUUGACGGGGGCCCGCACAAGCGGAGGAACAUGUGGUUUAAUUCGAUGAUACGCGAGGAACCUUACCCGGGCUUGAAAUGCAUCUGACCGACCAGGAAACUGGUUUUCUAGCAAUAGCAGAUGUGUAGGUGCUGCACGGUUGUCGCCAGCU
rnacentral:rRNA from 1 species